rnacentral:rRNA from 1 species
AUUGAACGCUGGCUGCAGGCCUAACACAUGCAAGUCGAGCGGAGCGGCGGACGGGUGAGUAAUGCCUAGGAAUCUGCCUGGUAGUGGGGGAUAACGUCCGGAAACGGGCGCUAAUACCGCAUACUAUCAGAUGAGCCUAGGUCGUAUUAGCUAGUUGGUGGGGUAAAGGCCUUCCAGGGCGACGAUCCGUAACUGGUCUGAGAGGAUGAUCAGUCAAACUGGAACUGAGACACGGUCAGGACUCCUACGGGAGGCAGGAGUGGGGAAUAUUAGACAAUGAGCGAAAGCCUGAUCCAGACAUGCCGCGGAUGGGAAAAAGGUAUUCGGAUUGUAAAGCAAUUUAAGUUGGGAGGAGUUACCAGCCGAAUAAGCACCGGCUAACUUCGUGCCAGCAGCCGCGGUAAUAC